rnacentral:rRNA from 1 species
GAUGAACGCUAGCUACAGGCUUAACACAUGCAAGUCGAGGGGCAGCAUGAUUGAAGCUUGCUUCAAUCGAUGGCGACCGGCGCACGGGUGAGUAACACGUAUCCAACCUGCCGAUAACUCGGGGAUAGCCUUUCGAAAGAAAGAUUAAUACCCGAUAGCAUAGUAUUUCCGCAUGGUUUCACUAUUAAAGAACUUCGGUUAUCGAUGGGGAUGCGUUCCAUUAGAUAGUUGGCGGGGUAACGGGCCCACCAAGUCAACGAUGGAUAGGGGUUCGUGAGAGGAAGGUCCCCCACCAUUGGAACUUGAGACACGGUCCAA